rnacentral:rRNA from 1 species
UACGUAGGCAGCGAGCGUUGUUCGGAGUUACUGGGCGUAAAGAGUGCGUAGGCGGUUUUCUAAGUUUGGUGUGAAAUCUCCCGGCUUAACUGGGAGGGUGCGCCGAAGACUGGAAGGCUUGAGUAUGGGAGAGGUAAGCGGAAUUCCUGGUGUAGCGGUGAAAUGCGUAGAUAUCAGGAGGAAUACCGAUGGCGAAGGCAGGUCUCUGGGCUGACACUGACGCUCAUGCACGAAAGCGUGGGGAGCAAACAGG